UAAAGGUUUGGUCCUAGCCUUUCUAUUAGUUAUUAAUAGGAUUACACAUGCAAGCCUCCACAUACCGGUGAAAAUGCCCUCUAAAUCGUUAACCGACCUAAAGGAGCAGGCAUCAAGCACACAAAACGUAGCUCAUAACGCCUUGCUUAGCCACACCCCCACGGGAUACAGCAGUGAUAAAAAUUAAGCCAUGAAUGAAAAUUCGACUAAGCCAUAUUAAACCAGGGUUGGUAAAUUUCGUGCCAGCCACCGCGGUCAUACGAUUAACCCAAACUAAUAGAUAUACGGCGUAUAGCGUGUCACAGAAACAAUCCCAUGCUAAAGUUAAAUCUUAUCUAAGCCGUAAAAAGCUAUAGCUAAUACAAAAAUAUAAUACGAAAGUAACUUUAAUAAUUCCAAUUACACGACAGCUAAGACCCAAACUGGGAUUAGAUACCCCACUAUGCUCAGCCCUAAACCUAGAUAGUUAGCCAAACAAAACUAUCCGCCAGAGAACUACUAGCAAUAGCUUAAAACUCAAAGGACUUGGCGGUGCUUCAUAUCCCCCUAGAGGAGCCUGUUCUAUAACCGAUAAACCCCGAUAUACCUCACCACCCCUUGCUAAUUCAGUCUAUAUACCGCCAUCUUCAGCAAACCCUAAAAAGGAAGAACAGUAAGCACAAGCAUCUUAGCAUAAAAAAGUUAGGUCAAGGUGUAACCCAUGGGGUGGGAAGUAAUGGGCUACAUUUUCUACACUAGAAUAACUACCACGAAAGUCCUUAUGAAAUUAAGGACUAAAGGAGGAUUUAGUAGUAAACUGAGAAUAGAGUGCUCAGUUGAAUCGGGCCAUGAAGCACGCACACACCGCCCGUCACCCUCCUCAAGUGAAACAAACCCAAAGACAACAUAUUCAAACUUCAACAAACACAAGAGGAGACAAGUCGUAACAAGGUAAGCGUACUGGAAAGUGUGCUUGGAUAAAA
rnacentral:ncRNA from 1 species